rnacentral:tRNA from 1 species
GGUUCCUUAGCUUAAUCGGUAAAGCGUAUUUUUGAUAAGGAUGUGUUCGACGUUCAAGUCGUCGAGGAAUCA